rfam:Chelonia mydas contig218109, whole genome shotgun sequence.
ACAUCCUCUCUGUUUGGCUAAGAUCAAGUGCAGUAUCUAUACUUAUCAAUUUAAUAUUCGAUAUAUCUUCUUUUGGGGACAAUAUCCCGUAAUACUUAGGGUCUUCUUUCAGGGGUCUAUAUCCUGCCUCUGCAGGGGUAUGUAUCCGAUGGUCUAAUGGUCUUUUCCAUGUUUGUCUAUGAUAUUUCCACAAUUC